UUUUUCUUUUAUUGCUUUGAGAAAAAAUACGAGUUACUCAUCUGCUGCCGUUGAGUUAAUGUACUUAUGUCUUUAAUGUCUGUUCCUUUGUUUAUUUUUGUGCCUUUUAGAUUCAUUUGUGUUAUUUGCAACUCGGUAAUCUAUAAACCCAUUUGCUAAUUUGAAACUUUGAUUUUUGAACUCUGUUCACAGAGCAAUAUUCUUUUGUGUUGAAUUUCUGUACUCCUGGUUUUCUCUUCCGAUUGCGCUUUGUGAUCUGUCUUGUAUAAAGAGUCUUUUCCUUUGAUUUUUCUUCACAUUGAAUACUUUUAUUCCAUCUAUUUAGUCCUGAGAAAAUGAGAGAAAAAGAUCAAAUCUUGCAGAGUCUUAGAUUUUUCACUGAAGGAAUUCUCAACUUUUUCUGAAUUUGACAUAUCUGUUGUUAAAGAGGUAAUCUUUAGGUGUAGAAUUGGACAUAUUUGACAACACGAGUUUAAUCAUGAAAAAAUUCCCACUUUAGUAACCUAAAUGUAGAUACUACAUUUUAAUUCAAUAACCAAUUGGGAAAUUU
rnacentral:misc_RNA from 1 species